GCUGGGUGCAGUGGCCCCUGCCUGUAAUCCCAGCGGCUUGGGAGGCUGAGGCAGGAGGAUUGCGAGUUCAAAGCCAGCCUCAGCAAAGAUGAAGUGCUAUGAAACUCAGUGAGACCCUGUCUCUA
rnacentral:sRNA from 1 species